rnacentral:rRNA from 1 species
AUUGAACGCUAGCGGCAUGCCUUACACAUGCAAGUCGAACGGCAGCACGGGAGCAAUCCUGGUGGCGAGUGGCGAACGGGUGAGUAAUAUAUCGGAACGUGCCCAGUCGUGGGGGAUAACGCAGCGAAAGCUGUGCUAAUACCGCAUACGAUCUACGGAUGAAAGCGGGGGAUCGCAAGACCUCGCGCGAUUGGAGCGACCGAUAUCAGAUUAGCUAGUUGGUGGGGUAAAGGCCCACCAAGGCGACGAUCUGUAGCUGGUCUGAGAGGACGACCAGCCACACUGGAACUGAGACACGGCCCAGACUCCUACGGGAGGCAGCAGUGGGGAAUUUUGGACAAUGGGCGCAAGCCUGAUCCAGCAAUGCCGCGUGCAGGAUGAAGGCCUUCGGGUUGUAAACUGCUUUUGUACGGAACGAAACGGCCCUUUCUAAUACAGGGGGCUAAUGACGGUACCGUAAGAAUAAGCACCGGCUAACUACGUGCCAGCCGCCGCGGUAAUAC